rnacentral:rRNA from 1 species
GAAAUCAAUUCAGAUUCCCUUAGUAGCGGCGAGCGAACGGGGACCAGGCCUGGUCUGAAAUAAAGCAAAGCAUCUGGAAAGUUGCGCCAUAGUGGGUGAUAGCCCCGUACACGAAAAUCUCUUGCCAGUGAAAUCGAGUAGGACGGAGCACGAGAAACUUUGUCUGAACAUGGGGGGACCAUCCUCCAAGGCUAAAUACUCCUGACUGACCGAUAGUGAACCAGUACCGUGAGGGAAAGGCGA